rnacentral:rRNA from 1 species
GAUGAACGCUAGCGAUAGGCUUAACACAUGCAAGUCGAGGGGCAGCACAAGGUAGCUUGCUCUCUGGGUGGCGACCGGCGCACGGGUGCGUCACGCGUAUGCAACUUGCCCUAUACAGGAGGAUAACCCGUCGAAAGACGGACUAAUACUGCGUAUGCUCACAACUUGGCAUCAAGAGGUGAGGAAAGAAAUUCGGUAUAGGAUAGGCAUGCGUCCCAUUAGCUUGUUGGUGAGGUAACGGCUCACCAAGGCAACGAUGGGUAGGGGAACUGAGAGGUUGAUCCCCCACACUGGUACUGAGACACGGACCAGACUCCUACGGGAGGCAGCAGUGAGGAAUAUUGGUCAAUGGGCGCGAGCCUGAACCAGCCAAGUCGCGUGAAGGAUGACUGUCUUAUGGAUUGUAAACUUCUUUUAUACGGGAAUAACAAGAGUAACGUGUGACUCCCUGCAUGUACCGUAUGAAUAAGCAUCGGCUAACUCCGUG